GCACGGGUGAGUAACGCGUAUGCAACCUACCCACAACAGAAGAAUAAUCCGGCGAAAGUCGGUCUAAUACUUCAUAAAACAGGGACACCGCAUGGUGUUAUUUGUUAAAGAUUUAUCGGUUGUGGAUGGGCAUGCGUACCAUUAGGUAGUUGGUGAGGUAACGGCCCACCAAGCCUACGAUGGUUAGGGGUUCUGAGAGGAAAGUCCCCCACACUGGUACUGAGACACGGACCAGACUCC
rnacentral:rRNA from 1 species